rnacentral:lncRNA from 1 species
UUAAUUUUUACAAAAAUCUUCUCUUCUGAAACUACUGGCAAAAUUAAAGCAAACAUGGCCAAAAUCAUCCUUAGGGUAUUUAGUUUCAAAAAAGUAUCCGAUGACCCCGCCCAAUAAUUAAGAUGGCCGCAAUGUCUAAAAGAAGAGCAUCGCAUAAAAUGUAGAUUUUGGCUUAUAUAUCUGAAACAAAACCAUAGAGACAAUCUAACAAGGGAUAAGAACAUUUCGCCUCAUAAAAUAAUGUGGACCAGUCAGAACUUUUCAUGUGGGACAAUAUGAGCUCUUAAUUUAAAAAAAAGUGGGACAAUCGGGAAUAAGCCCUACAGACUUGAGCAAUUCUAAAAUAAACACUGUUGAUGUAUCUCUUUUAAAUUUUCUAUUAAAAAGUGUUUUACAUUUACGAAUGCACUAUAUUGUAUCUGUAUCUAAAAUAUUAAACGCAUUUAUUUCGUGAUAGAAAUUAAGUAAAUGCUUAAGUAACCAUUUUAUUACUUUUCCCCCUCUUUUCGAGUUUGUCAAAC